AGUGGAAUAAUGAACCAAGGAAUGGCAGGCUGAACCAUUAAUAGACUAGGAAAUAAUAUGAUCUGAAAGCUGAUCCACCAAGCUUGCACACUCUCGGGAUGAAAUCCUGGUGCAUUUUCCUCUCUGCAGAAUGCAUUACCUCUUCUAUGCAGUGCUUAUGUCUGGUCCCAGAAGACCACCAAUUCAUGAAUGUUUAAAGACUGCCCUGCCUGUCCAGUGCUAUAUGAAGAUAUUAUGAAGAAAGUGAUGGGAGAAGGAUAUUGCAAGGAUCCCAAGAUAAAGACUCAUCAGAAGGUUAAGAAGGAUACAAUAAUUAAUAAUAGAAAAAGCUACCGAAAGGUCCAAAAGAACUAACAAAAAUCAUUCUCACAGCAACCUCUUUUCAGUGUAGAUCAUCUAUUAAAGCCAUCAAAGCAGUAUCA